CAAGACUAAUCCCCUCAUCCAAGUAUCGCUGCUUUAUUUCCUAACCCCAAAUGAUUAACAACAAAUUAAUUCCGCUCCAGUCCGCUGCUCUAUUCUGCGUCAGGUUUUGGCAUUGACUUGCGUUUCAAUAGCUGUGGGUGACAGCCUUACAACAGCGCUGAGAUAGCAGACGCGCGAUCUUUCUCUUUCAGACCAAUCACUGCGGGCUACACGCCGGGGAUUGCUGGAAAUAUUACAUUUCUACCGGACACUAAGAGUUUCCUUUAACGGAUUCCAGAGGCUGGACUCAAAUCGGAGGAAGCGACACGCGCACCAAACAAACGAACGUGCCUUUUUGUCCACGCGCUCAGGAGCGUGUUUAUUCUACUGGCGCAGCACUGAAUAACUAUUGUAGCGGUAGGUGAUCGAUAAGGCAAGUGUUUCUAGCCCAGACAGACACGUUUUCAUAAGGCACAGCUGCUUGCGCUGCCGUGGACUGUUUUUGCCAUCAUUUGUUAGACAAAAGGCAGUUUAUUCCCGCUUAUUGCGAACGACUUCUUGGAUACUGGAUGGCUGUCCGAAGCGGAGUACAACGGCUGCAGGACCAAGCCGGGAAUGCCAUUUGUUCACAAGCAGCAUAAACGAGCUUUGUUGCGCGGUGUUUUUACCAGGGGACAGGUGUCGUUGUGUACGUUGGGGCGGGGGGUUAGUUGUUGGGGGUUUGGACACAGUUGUCUUAAGGAUGUCAGAUCAGGGAUCAGAUCUGCACAGAGACAGGUGCGACAGAGAGGAGUAGAUUUCACGCGGACCCCUCCUCUCUUCUCCUCUCAGUCAUUCUGGAAUAUAGUCCCGAGGAGGCGAGUCAUUCACAGAGAACCGGGCUCACCGUUUCCCAUUGGCUGUUAACGGUUUGUGGACUGGAAAAAGAGAAAGAAGUGAGUGAAGUCCCUAAGGGUGAAAGCAUUUAAAAGAACCCAGGAGAGAGAGCAGAUGAGAAAGGAGGUGAAAAGAGGAUUUGCCAUGUGGAGAUGAUGUCCUUAAGUGAAGGAAAGGUAAGAUAUGGAUAGGAUAGCAGCCUGUUUUCUCCACCAACAACUCUGGCUUAUUAUGGACAAGAAUUGUUCUUUGAAGCAAAAACUCAAUUUUCUUACAGUCUGCACGACUAAAGGUCUCAAGCUUGAUAGCAGUCAUUAGAGCUGUUCAGUUUUUGCAUUGUAAAUUGGGUUAUUAUCAUCCA